UACAGAGGUCUCAAGCGUUGUUCGGAUUCAUUGGGCGUAAAGGGCGCGUAGGCGGCCUUCUAAGUCGAACGUGAAAUCCCCGGGCUCAACCCGGGAACUGCGUCCGAUACUGGGAGGCUUGAAUCCGGGAGAGGGAUGUGGAAUUCCAGGUGUAGCGGUGAAAUGCGUAGAUAUCUGGAGGAACACCGGUGGCGAAGGCGGCAUCCUGGACCGGUAUUGACGCUGAGGCGCGAAAGCCAGGGGAGCAAACGGG
rnacentral:rRNA from 1 species